GUUGCCAGACUGUUUUCACGUGAGCGUAGACGAAGCUAUGUUUAUUUGGUUAGAAUAACGAUUAACCAUCGUGACGGUAAAGUCACAAAAAAUGCCGAAAUUGGCUAAGGUGAAAAACAAGCACCCGAGAAAAUUUAAGUCAUAGCAAAACAGCUAUUAAGAGAAGCAAAGAAAAAAAUCUUUAUGCAAUAAUUUUAAACCUAUCUAUAAUUUUACAUAGAGAACAAUUCACUUGCAUUCUCUUUUAGCCACCUAAGCAAAAAAUAUAAGAUCCCCAUAAAUUGGCUAAUUAUCAAUAUGGAAAAAGAAAUAUCUAUGACAACAAUAUUUGUAAGAAUCAUAUGGUUAUAACGAAUCUGAUGAAAUAUGCCCGAUGGGAAGAAAGUUAAAAACAAUGCAGAGAGCAAGGCAUUGAAGAUGUAAUAAUUAGCAAAAGAAAAUAUCAAUAUCAGCAAGAAGUCAAGGAAAAUUCUUCUAACUAUGAUGCUUGGUUUGACUAUCUGAGAUUAGUAAAACCUGAAGAAAAUCAUAAUGUUGUAAGAGCGUAUGAACGAGCUAUAGCAAAUGUCCCUUCUACUAAGGAGCGUGGAAACGAUAUAUCUACCUGUACAUAAAUUAUGCUUUGUAUGAAGAAAUUGACACGGAAGUUAUAUAUAGAUGUCAUCAAAUUUACAGGUAUGGUAUUGGGUGUUUAUCCCAAAGACAACUUGUACCGUGGUUACAAUGAUUUAGAGACAAUCUAGAGAAUUUGACAGAUGCAGGAUUCUGUAUGAAAAAUUACUUGAAUUUGCACCUCAAAACUGCACAACGUGAAUGAAAUUUGGAUAUGUCUGGAAGUCACUUUUAUGGAAGUCAUAUAUAGAUUCUGAAAUAUCUCAGGAUGAAAUAGAAAAUACUAAACAACUAUUUGAGAGAUUAUUAGAACGAAUUGUUCAUGUCAAACUGGUAGAAUUUUUGAACGUGGGAAUUAUCCAUUAUUUGCAAACUGUGACAAAGAAAGGAGAAUAUUACUUUUGAGAGCAUGGAGAGAUUUCGAAAAUGAGAAGGGAGACAGAGUUAGAUUAAAAUUAUUGUCAAAAUGCCUAGAAGAAUUAAACGAAGAAGACGAAUGGUUGAAGGUGGAGUAUGUAGUUUUUAUAACAUACAUUAAAUAGUACAAUAACAUUAAAUAGUUUUGGAGGAAUUUAAAUUAAAAAGAAGUAUUCUUAAUUUAUAUUAAAAAUAAUCUAUAUUAAAUAGAAGAUAUUCGGCUUCGGGAAAAAGUAUUCGACUUCGUAUUCCCAGAAGACGAAUACCAAAGAGCAAAUCCUAACUUUUUGGCAUUAGCGAAAGCGUAGAUAAAGCAAAAAAUUUCUAGUGAAACUGCUCAAAACGAAAAUUAACAAUUAGAAUCGGACAAUUAAAAAUAAUUUAUAUCUUUUAUAUUAUUAAUAUAUUUAUAUUUUAUAAAUAGGCAAUAUAAGUAUUGU